CACGUAGGGCGCAAGCGUUGUCCGGAAUUACUGGGCGUAAAGGGCGCGUAGGCGGUCCUGUAAGUCCUGUGUGAAAUCCCCCGGCUCAACUGGGGAAUUGCACGGGAAACUGCGGGGCUUGAGUUCGGGAGAGGGAAGCGGAAUUCCGGGUGUAGCGGUGAAAUGCGUAGAUAUCCGGAGGAACACCGGUGGCGAAGGCAGCUUGCUACACAAUUAUUGACACUGAGGCUCGAAAGCGUGGGGAUCAAACAGG
rnacentral:rRNA from 1 species